AUUUUAAAUCUUAUGCAUAAAUUGGUUACUUUCCAUGUUAAUCCUUCAAAAUCUUAGCCCCAAAUCUCGGUACCUUUGAAUAGCUAUGGAUUUGAUUUCAAAAUCCCUAACUCCCUUCUUCUUUGUCAUUUCAUGUACGCGUAAUCAACAAUUGAUAUGGAGUAAUCUUCUCUGGUUGAUGAUCUAAACCCCUAAUGUGUGCACUGAAUUUCAAUUCCUAAACCUUCGGUCUUUCUCUCGCCAAUCCCGAACGAAUGCUAAUCCGCAUCCGCCACCAUCACCACCACCAUAGGGUUUGCUUGUAAUACACAAAAUUCAUCCAUGUAAUAUGUGUGAAAGUAGAAAUCAAAGCAUCUGUUUCUUUAACUCGAAUUAGAGACAUUGCUCAAAACACCUGUUUCUUUUACCAGUAUGCAUUGAAUUUGGAAGAGUAUGAUAUUGCAAAGCAAUUCAGAACAAACUCAAUGAGGUUGAAGUUGAAGUGAUUAAGCAAUAGGAAAUAAAAAUGGGAUUAUCUAAUAAAAGUGAAGCUCAAGAUAGCGGAUUAAGCUUGCUGUGUAUGCGGUUAUUUUCUUAUAAUGUCAUCUUUUUUUUAAAUCUUCAUUGGCGUUUAUCUGAUACAAAAUUCUAAAGUUUUUGUACUUUUUGUUGUUAUUUAUUAUUCAUUUUCGUUUUUUAUAUUUCUUAUCCUACAGAGGGGACUUGUAAAAUGCAAUUAAGAAUAAAUUUAUUCGUUGGCAUCUGAAUUACAUGACCAAAUUUCAAAGCUUGAGGCUCAUUCAAUGGCUACAUCUUGAAGCUUUUCAAAAUGCUCAAUUUGUAUUUUGUUUAGGCCACAAAGUCAGACACAAAAAGUUUGGUAUAUCAUAUAUCUCUUAUUUCUACUCAAUUACAGCAGUGACACUUGCUUUGCAUUUGGAUCAUUGUUCUAACUGGGUAGAUUUUUUUAAAAGCUUUUGAUGUUCUGAAAAAUUAGUGUGGUGGUGAUAGGACACAUAGUUGUGGUUUGUGGAAUGGAUCAGGUAUGCUGUGAAACAAGGUCGUGGACGGAAAAUGCAAAUGUUGACCAGUUGACUCGUGGUCCUGGUCAACCAUAUUAUUAGGUUGUGAAAUUAAAAGCCCCAUUUUAUAUAUUUUUACUUUUAUUUUUCAAGAAAUGAUUCAGCUUAAAAAAAUUAAGCUAUUAUUUGUUACUUCUUAUUUUAGCUAUCUAUUUGUAUGGUUAGAAAGAGUUUUUUUCUUUGCUUAUUUCUUGCAGAUCUUAAAAAAAUGAAGAUCCAAAUCUAUAUAUGAUGCCAUUUCUACAUACAUUAGAAUGGAGAAGUUUUGUUCGGCAGUUCUGGAAAAGAAAACUUGUAUGGAAAGUCAAAACUUAAAGUUGGGUUCUCUUAAAAGGUUUAUAUUGGUUUCUUUAUUUCAUUAAUAUAAAGUUUAUAUAUGUUAUGUAAAAUGUAUAAUUUUCUUUUAAUUGUAGAGGUUUCUUUUAUGUCAUCAAUAGAUUCAACGAUUCCACCAGUGAA